rnacentral:rRNA from 1 species
UACAGAGGUCCCGAGCGUUGUUCGGAUUCACUGGGCGUAAAGGGUGCGCAGGUGGCUUGGCAAGUUUGAUGUGAAAGCUCAGGGCUUAACCCUGAAAUGGCAUUGAAUACUGUUGAGCUGGAGGUUUGGAGGGGGGACUGGAAUUCUUGGUGUAGCAGUGAAAUGCGCAGAUAUCAGGAAGAACACCCGUGGCGAAAGCGGCUCUCUGGAACGGUACUGACGCUGAGACGCGAAAGCGUGGGGAGCGAACAGG